GAACCAGGAGAACAUUGUAUACAGAGACUGAUACACUGUGGUACAAUUGAAAUUAAUGGACUUCUCUACUAGCAGCACUGCAAUGAUCUGGGACAAUUCUGAGGAACUUAUGAGAAAGAACACUAUCCACAUCCAAAGGAAGAAAUGUGGGAAUAGAAACACAGAAGAAAAACAACUGCUUGAUCACAUAGAAAUUACCUGAAAGGAUGAACCAAAGAAUGAAUCUCUACAUUUCCACAUGAUGAAUCAUUGUCAAUACUCCAUUGAACUGCAUGGACUUUGUUGUCAUCCUAGUUCACUGUUUAUAUUAUUUCUCUAUCUAGACCAUAUGUUUUUUUAACCUGAGUUCACAGAAGAAUUUCAGAAGAUUCAUGGACUUGGGAGGAGAUAAGUUGAGAUUGGUUCUGACCAACAACUUCCAUUUUCUGAAGAGGAAAUAAAUACCACAUCCUUUAA